CUAGGAAAAGUCUUUGACCAUAGCGAUUGUUUGUGGUAAUUACCUAAAGUACUUACCACAAACAAUCGCUAUGGUCAAAGACUUUGCCUAGAAGCGU